UACGAAGGGGGCUAGCGUUGUUCGGAAUUACUGGGCGUAAAGCGCACGUAGGCGGAAUGUUAAGUCAGGGGUGAAAUCCCGAGGCUCAACCUCGGAACUGCCUUUGAUACUGGAGAUCUUGAGUUCGGAAGAGGUUGGUGGAACAGCUAGUGUAGAGGUGAAAUUCGUAGAUAUUAGCUAGAACACCAGUGGCGAAGGCGGCCAACUGGUCCGAUACUGACGCUGAGGUGCGAAAGCGUGGGGAGCAAACAGG
rnacentral:rRNA from 1 species